UAAUAGCUAAGAGAGCUUUCUUCAGUCCACUCAUGGGUGGUAGUAGGAUUUAAUUAGCUGCCGACUCAUUCAUCCAAAUACUGAGUUAAAGGACAAGGAGAUUACCCAGUAAAUGAGUGAAUGAUGCGGGAGACAAAUUGAAUCCUAAGCUUCCUGUACUUGGACUGAAGGGAGCUCCCUUUCCUUUUAUA
rnacentral:pre_miRNA from 13 species